AAACCCUCGCCCACUCUAACCAAAUCCUUAACAGACCUACCAGACAAGGGAUGAAAAUGAGCAGCCCACUCUAAUACAAAACCUUUAAUUGGAUGUAAGUUUAUUUGAUUUCGCUCUUUCAUACAAAUUCCUGUUCGAUUUUGCUUUGAUUUUGCUCUUUCAUUCUUUGAUUUUACUUUUUUGUCUUUCUUUCUUCAUGCAUGUGGCUUUUAAGUUUAUUUUCUCUGUUAAUUUGUGUUUUUUCUUUACUGAUUUUUUUCUCUUUCUUUCAUCUUGAUGUUUUUUGAUUCUCAACAGAAAGUAGCAGAAAUUUGGUAGAAUCGGUGUAUUUUGAAGAAGGAUAUAACACUCUUUGUUGAAAUCGAGAUGUAAGUCCUCUUUAUCCUUUUGCAUUAGGUAUUAUAUGUUCUAAAAUUUACAUUACCUAUUUGAAGUGCAGUAACUACUGCAUUUGAGCCUGUGUUGAAUUCAAGUGGUUGUAGUUUCUUUUGAAUUGCUAUCUUAGUCGCAUCUGUAGAGCUGUUUAUUCUGCAAAUAUGCUAAUUUUGACAAGAAGUAUCAUAUAAUAGCCUAAUCUCUAGUCACCUUAGUGAUUUCUGGAGCACCUCUUAUUCCUCUUAUCCCAGGUUACUGACUACCCAAUGGGGAGCCUUUUAUAAUUAAUUUGUUGUUUAUCUUUGAUAGUUUAGUUUGUAUAUUUCCUUCUUUUUCUUGUAAGAAUUAUGUAUUCGCUAGUUGGUAUUUGCAAGAUCCUUUUUAUUAUUGAAGUGGUUUUUGGUAUUCGAUAGUGUUCCACUGGGAAUUUCACCGGAUCAAUGAAUUUCUUAUGUUGAUUACCGCUUUAAAGAAAAGACACAUGUAUUUAUUUCAAUGCUUCGAUUAGUUUGUGUAAUUAUAUAUUUGUUUGUAUAAGAGGUUGAACCUUCAGAGGUUCCAUAAGAGGUUGCUUCGUGCCUAUUAUUAUUCUAUAAAAAGAGGCUGUAUCUAACUAAAAUGGAAGUUGUUCUACAAAUAAAAGAGCUACAAACAAAAGAGCUAUUAUAGUUUUGUUAAACAAAAGAGUUCUUGGCAUCAUUUGUGCCUUUGUUCUUUUGUUAAACAGAUCUUAUGGUUUUACAAGUAUACAAUAGGCAAGUAUGUGUAAUUCACGGUAUCUUUUUGUACGAAAACUUGUAAAAGAAAUGCUGAAAUUCGGAAGAAACAAAUUGUUUGACAUAUCGGUGGCUCCAAACCUAACUCCAGAAGAAGGGAUGAAAUGGUAUUGAUUUAUUUUGAAUACUUUAAUUAAACUAGCAACUAUUCUUAGUUAGUUAAGUUAAUGCGACUUUAACUUUUUCAUUUAUAGAUGGCUGAGACUGGACAAAAGCCUGGACGAGGACAACUUUAUCUCGCUACACAUAGGAAUGAAGAUGGAUCAUAUGUUAAUGAGGCGGCCAAAGAGAUAUGUGUAAGUUUUUAAUUU
rnacentral:lncRNA from 1 species